CUGGCGGCACGCCUAAACAUGCAAGUCGAACGAAGUAGCAAUACUUAGUGGCAGACGGGUGAGUAGCAUGUAGGUAUCUGCCCUUUGGCCUGGAAUAACACGAGGAAACUUGUGCUAAUACCGGAUAAGUCUUUACGGAGAAAGCUUUAUGCACCAUUGGAUGAGCCUGCACUUGAUUAGUUUGUUGGUGGGGUAAUGGCCUACCAAGACUGUGAUCAAUAGCUGAUUUGAGAGGAUGAUCAGCCACAUUGGGACUGAGACACGGCCCAAACUCCUACGGGAGGCAGCAGUGGGGAAUCUUGCACAAUGGAGGAAACUCUGAUGCAGCGAUGCCGCGUGAGUGAAGAAGGCCCUUGGGUUGUAAAGCUCUUUCGUCGGGGAAGAAAAUGACUGUACCCGAAUAAGAAGGU
rnacentral:rRNA from 1 species